CUACUUUUUCCUACUUUUCUUCAACUUUCCUACUUUUCCUAUUUUUUAUUAAAAAUUGCUUGAUUUUCCUACUUUUUCCUACUUUUUCUCAUAAAAUCCUACUUUUUUAAGACAGCUUGGGGAAUCAGUAUGUUAUAGCUCUCGUAAUUUGAUCUAUAGGACUCGUAAUUUUUAUUCCCUAUUUGUGUCGCAGAUGAUAAGAUCUCAGGAGGAGAAGAAGUACAUUUUCCGAGUAUAAAAUUUCAUAGCAUCUCUAGAAUCAUAAUCAAUAAAUUAAUGAAGACUCUGAAAGUGCCAUUUCCGACGAUCUAGAGAUUCCAAAUAUUCAACUCCCCCCUCAGUUAAUCAAGCAUCAUAUAUACAGGGCCGUAGCAACUGGAGGGGGGGGGGCUGCAGCCCCCAAUAAUUUGCUAAUAAUAUUUUUUUUCAAAAUCAUGCAGACCUUUAUCAUUUAGUCCAUGACAAACUGCAAAGAAUG